GGCUCAUGCCUGUAAUCCCAGCACUUUAGGAGGCCAAGGUGGGCAGAUCAUUUAGGCCAGGAGUUCGAGACCAGCCUGGCCAACAUGGUAAAACCCUGUCUCUACUAAAAAAAAAAAAAAAAAAAAAAAAAAAAAAAAAAAAAAAAAGAAAGAUAUUUUCCUGAAAAACUAAAUCAAAACUGGUUAAUAAAACUUUAAUAAACCAAAAAAAAAAAAAAAAAAAGAAAUCUUUUAGCUCCAUUAUAAUCUCAUAGGACCACCAUUGUAUAUAUGGCCCAUUAUUGACAGAGAUGUCAUUAUGUGGUACGUGACUGUAGAAUUUUUAUUUGUCAAUUAAUAAAUAAAUAAGCUCACAAGAUGUGUUAGGUGAGCAGGGCGCUCUUUGGGGCAUCACGCAUGACUCAAAGCACUUCAGUGCUGGAAUGUCAAGUCCUUCUUCCCUGAAAAUCGAAAGUUUUAAAUGAUUAGACAUUCUAUAUUCCUUGGUAUGUAGGGAUGAAAUGAACCCCAUCUGUCAAUACACAAUUUCUGAUUGAUCACUGCUUUGGCCUUGUCUCCUUCCCAGGAGGCCUCAGCAAGAGCCAUCUCUGUGGGUGUGCCAGCCACGGUCACUCUGGUGAAGCCCGCCUUCUCCUGCUACCACCUGUCUUGGGGGGCCCGAUUGACUGCUGUGCUGUGGCCUGAGCAGUGCAGCUGGUGGGAGGAGGUGCUCUUCUAGAUAUGCAGACAGCCCUCUACAGGGAGGGGUGGACCACCGAGGAGAACCAGAAAGAGCCUCUUCUUCUCCUUCUCUAAGGCAGAGCACCCUAAACAUUGCCCACAGGCCCUCAAUUUCACACUUACCCAGCCAGUCCAAGCAGGAGGCACACAUUUUGCAUGCACACAUUCUUCCACUGGAAUCUGGGAGCUCUUUUGCUUUCCGGGAAAUCCAAAGGAAGUUCUCAGAAAUUGUGGUGUCUUGCCACCGCAGAAUACCCAGCACAGAGUGACUCAGACCCAUCUAUUUAUCAAGGUGGCCCUCACAAGCAGUUUCUCCUUUGGGUAUCAGGAAACUGAGUUGACACAGUUUUCCAGGGUAGGGACUGUCUUGGUGAUAAGAAUUUUUUGGGAAGAGAGAUUUUAAAUUUUCAUUAUGGAAAGCUCAUUACCUGCCCCCCCUUUAGAAUUUUAACUUGCCUGAUUAUUGGCAUGGCCUGAGAAGUGGGGAGGAUGAGGACUUGCUGAGAGAGGGCAGGUGUGGGUGGCAGGAGCAUGGCAUUUUUUGGGAAUGAGGCCUCAUGUCCUGGGUUAGCAGUCAUGACAUCUGAAACUCCCAGGACUUUUUUCUUGGGCUCCCUGGGCAGCCUGGGCCAGCUCUGCAGAGCCUUGAGGUCAACAGUGGGUGGGGAGCACAGACUGCCUGACUUCAGGAACCCUUUUCCCUCUUCUGACUGAGUGACAGCAUCCUCUCUGAGUCUCAGCUGCUUCGACCCUAAAAUGGGGGUAAGACCUCUUGCUUUACCCCUUGCUGAGACACUGGGCAGACUACCUUCAAAAGCUAUGGUGGUUCCCAACAGUGAGGGAGGUGGGGAGUGCUUCCCUGGGGGUCGUGCACCGUGAGUACCAGAACAGAAGGCCUGUGGGUGCAGGUUGGGAAAAGCACCUAUGGACUGUCGUGAGCUCCCCCUCCAACCUGUUGAAUGGGAUUGUCCCGAAGACCAACCCUAAUGCACGCUCCGUGGGACACCUGGCCCUAUGUAGGCAUUUAUAAAGAAUAGCUAUUUUUUUAACUUUUAUUUUAGGUUCAGGGGUACAUGUGCAGGUUUGUUAUAUAGGUAAACUCAUGUCAUGGGGGUUUGUUGUACAGAUUAUUUCGUCACCCAGGUACUAAGCCUGGUAGUACCCAAUAGUUUUUUUUUUUUCUGAUCUUCUCCCUCCUCCCACUCUCCAUCCUCAAGUAAACCCCUAGUGUGUGUUGUUCCCCUCUUUGUGUCUGUGUUCUCAUCAUUUAUCUUCCACUUAUAAGUGAGAACAUGUGGUAUUUGGUUUUCUGUUCCUGUGUUAGUUUACUAAGGAUGAUGGCCGCCAGUUCCGUCUGUGUUUCUGCCAAGGACAUGAUCUUAUUUUCUUAUGGCUGCAUAGUAUUCCGUGGUGUAUAUGUACCACAUUUUUCUUUAUUCAAUCUGCCAUUGAUGGACAUUUAAGUUGAUUACAUGACUUUAAGGAUAGCUGUUAUUUAUUACCCUAUAAAUCUUGAAUUCUUCCUGUUCUUUUCUAAGAUUUAUGGGUAUUUUCUCCUGCAUCACAUUGCUUUAAGCAUGCAUAAUUUUGCUUAAGCUAAGAGGCCAAUUCUAAAAAGAAGAACUUACUUUCAGGGAAUCAUUAGCUUCACAUUCCAGUUUUCUCUCAAGGACAUUGUGGGAUGUUAGAUUUGUCCUUCAGAACAUUCCUUUUGGGAGGUUAACAUGGAGGGUUUGUUUGGUUUCUGCUUUUUUAUUCUGGUCAUCACUGAGAUUACAUUUCUCAGACUGGAUUCUUGCUAGAGGUUGUGGUUGCCGGCUCCACGUUAAAAAACCCGUCACCAAGUAUCUCAUCUCCUGUCCCUGCUCAUUGCUCCACGAGCCCAGCAGUAGCUCUCAAACAUGAGCAUGCACCAGAACCACUUGCUUGGAUAAUCUCAAAGUUUCUUUCUGCAAGAUGCUUAUUCAUCACAAAGGGGCAAACAGCAACUUUCCAUUGGAGAUA
rnacentral:lncRNA from 1 species